rnacentral:rRNA from 1 species
GACGAACGCUGGCGGCGUGCUUAACACAUGCAAGUCGAACGGUGAAGGGACUGGUUUUGCUGGUCCUGGAUGAGUGGCGAACGGGUGAGUAACACGUGAGUAACCUGCCCCCUUCUUCUGGAUAACCGCAUGAAAGUGUGGCUAAUACGGGAUAUUCUGGGUCUGUCGCAUGGUGGCCUGGGAAAGAUUGCGCCUUUUUUGGUGUUUUUGGUGGGGGAUGGGCUCGCGGCCUAUCAGCUUGUUGGUGGGGUGGUGGCCUACCAAGGCGGUGACGGGUAGCCGGCCUGAGAGGGUGGACGGUCACACUGGGACUGAGACACGGCCCAGACUCCGACGGGAGGCAGCAGUGGGGAAUAUUGCACAAUGGGCGCAAGCCUGAUGCAGCGACGCCGCGUGAGGGAUGGAGGCCUUCGGGUUGUGAACCUCUUUCGCCAGUGAAGCAGGCCUGCCUCUUUUUGUGGGUGGGUUGACGGUAGCUGGAUAAGAAGCGCCGGCUAACUACGUG